rnacentral:rRNA from 1 species
UACGGAGGUGGCGAGCGUUGUCCGGAAUUAUUGGGCGUAAAGGGCGCGUAGGCGGCCUGGCAAGUCAGAUGUGAAACCCCCAGGCUUAACCUGGGGCAUGCAUUUGAAACUGCUGGGCUUGAGUGCAGGAGAGGUAAGUGGAAUUCCUAGUGUAGCGGUGAAAUGCGUAGAUAUUAGGAGGAACACCAGUGGCGAAGGCGACUUACUGGACUGUAACUGACGCUGAGGCGCGAAAGCGUGGGGAGCAAACAGG